rnacentral:rRNA from 1 species
CCCCGUCAUCUAAUUAGUGACGUGCAUGAAUGGAUCAAUGAGAUUCCCACUGUCCCUGUAUAUUAUCCAGAGAAACCACAGCCAAGGGAACGGGCUUGUUUGAUGGUAUCUGCUACUCGGAUAAUCGUAGUAAUUCUAGAGCUAAUACGUGCAACAAACCCCAACUUUUGGAAGGGAUGCAUUUAUUAGAUAAAAGGUCUAUGCGGGCUUUGCCCGUUGCUCUGAUGAUUCGUGAUAACUUGAAGGAUCGCACGACCAUCGUGCUGGUGACGGAUCAUUCAAAUUUCUUCCCUAUCAACUUUUGAUUUUAGGAUAGAGGAAUUACAAUGGUGGUGACGGGUAACGGAGAAUUAGGGUUCGAUUUCGGAGAGGGAGCCUGUGAAACGACAACCGCAUCCAAGGAAGCAACAAGCGCGCAAAUUACCCAAUCCUAACACAAGGAGGUAGUGACAAUAAAUAACAAUACCAGGCUCUUACGAGUCUAGUAAUUGGAAUGAGUACAAUCUAAAUCCCUUAACGAGGAUCCAUUAGAGGGCAAGUCAGGUGCCAACAGCUGCGGUAAUUCCAGCUCCAAUAGCAUAUAUUUAAGUUGUUGCAGUUAAAAAGCUCGUAGUUGGAUCUUGGGUUGGGCAGAGAUGUCCACCCCUGGCGUGCACCAGUCUGCUCAUCCCUUCCACGGGCGAUGCGCUCCUGGCCUUAACUGGCUGGGUCGUGCCUCUGGUGCUGUUACUUUGAAGAAAUUAGAGUGCUCAAAGCAAGCCUACGCUCUGUAUACAUAAGCAUGGGAUAACAUCAUAGGAUUUCGGUCCUAUUGUGUUGGUCUUCAAGAUCAGAGUAAUGAUUAACAGGAACAGUCAGGGGCAAUCGUAUUCAUAGUCAGAGAUGAAAUUCUUGGACUUAUGAAAGACGAACAAUUGUAAAAGCAUUUGCUAAGGAUGCUUUCAUUAAUCAAGAACGAAAGUUGGGGGCUUGAAGACGAUCAGAUACCAUCCUAGUCUUAACCAUAAAUGAUGUCGACUAGGGAUCGGCAGAUGUUGCUUUAAGUACUCCGCUUGCACCUUAUGAGAAAUCAAAGUCUUUGGGUUUCGAGGGGAGUAUGGUCAGAAGGCUGAAACUUAAAGGAAUUGACGGAAGGGCACCACUAGGAGUGGAGCCUGCAGCUUAAUUUGACUAAAAAGGGGGAAACUUACCAAGUCCAGACAUAGUAAGGAUUAACAGGCUCAGAGCUCUUUCUUGAUUCUAUGGAUGGUGGUGCAUGGUCGUUCUUAGUUGGAGCGAUUUGUCUGGUCAAUUCCAUUAAUGAACAAGACCUCAGCCUACUAACUAGAUGUGCGAAGGUCACCUUCGGUAACCAGCUUCUUAGAGGCACUAUGGCAGCUUAGGCCAAGGAAGUUUGAGUCAAUAACAGGUCUGUGAUGCCCUUAGAUGUCCUAAGCUACACGCGCGCUACACUAAUGUAUUCANGCUUAGGCCAAGGAAGUUUGAGUCAAUAACAGGUCUGUGAUGCCCUUAGAUGUCCUAAGCUACACGCGCGCUACACUAAUGUAUUCAACGAGUUUAUAGCCUUGGCCGACAGGCCUAGGUAAUCUUUGAAUAUUCAUCGUGAUGGGGAUAGAUCAUUGCAAUUGUUGGUCUUCUAUAAGGAAUUCCUAGUAAGCGCAAGUCAUCAGCUCGCGUUGACUAUGUUGCCCUUUGUACACACCACGCGUUGCUCCUACUGAUUGAAUGGUUCGGUGAACUGUUCGGAUCGAGACAAUGUGGGUGGUUCACUGCCAGCAAUGUUGCAUGAAGUCCACUGAACCUUAUCAUUUAGAGGAAAGAGAAGUCGUAACAAGGUUUCCACAGGUGAACUUGCGGAAU